rnacentral:rRNA from 1 species
AACGAUGUCGACUUGGAGGUUGUUCCCUUGAGGAGUGGCUUCCGGAGCUAACGCGUUAAGUCGACCGCCUGGGGAGUACGGCCGCAAGGUUAAAACUCAAAUGAAUUGACGGGGGCCCGCACAAGCGGUGGAGCAUGUGGUUUAAUUCGAUGCAACGCGAAGAACCUUACCUACUCUUGACAUCCACGGAAUUUGGCAGAGAUGCCUUAGUGCCUUCGGGAACCGUGAGACAGGUGCUGCAUGGCUGUCGUCAGCUCGUGUUGUGAAAUGUUGGGUUAAGUCCCGCAACGAGCGCAACCCUUAUCCUUUGUUGCCAGCGAUUCGGUCGGGAACUCAAAGGAGACUGCCGGUGAUAAACCGGAGGAAGGUGGGGAUGACGUCAAGUCAUCAUGGCCCUUACGAGUAGGGCUACACACGUGCUACAAUGGCGCAUACAAAGAGAAGCGACCUCGCGAGAGCAAGCGGACCUCAUAAAGUGCGUCGUAGUCCGGAUCGGAGUCUGCAACUCGACUCCGUGAAGUCGGAAUCGCUAGUAAUCGUGGAUCAGAAUGCCACGGUGAAUACGUUCCCGGGCCUUGUACACACCGCCCGUCACACCAUGGGAGUGGGUUGCAAAAGAAGUAGGUAGCUUAACCUUCGGGAGG